GUUGAUUAUGGCUCAGGAUGAACGCUAGCUACAGGCUUAACACAUGCAAGUCGAGGGGCAGCAUGAUCGAAGCUUGCUUGAUGAUGGCGACCGGCGCACGGGUGAGUAACGCGUAUCCAACCUUCCCUAUAGUAGAGGAUAGCCCGGCGAAAGUCGGAUUAAUACUCUAUGUUUUCCAAUGCAGACAUCUAAAAUGGAACAAAGGUUUACCGCUAUAGGAUGGGGAUGCGUCUGAUUAGGUUGUUGGCGGGGUAACGGCCCACCAAGCCUACGAUCAGUAGGGGUUCUGAGAGGAAGGUCCCCCACAUUGGAACUGAGACACGGUCCAAACUCCUACGGGAGGCAGCAGUGAGGAAUAUUGGUCAAUGGGCGAGAGCCUGAACCAGCCAAGUAGCGUGCAAGGAUGACGGCCCUAUGGGUUGUAAACUGCUUUUAUACAGGGAUAAAGUGCGCCACGUGUGGCGCUUUGUAGGUACUGUAUGAAUAAGGACCGGCUAAUUCCGUGCCAGCCGCUGC
rnacentral:rRNA from 1 species